AUUAAAUUUGUUGUGUAGAAAAUGACAUCGGAAAGUAAUAGAAAAGAUCUGGCGUGGCAAUAUGCCCAUUUGGUAGAGGAGAAUAAUUUAAACAAGUUCGAGUGUAAUUUUUGUGGUAAAGUAUCAAAUGGAGGUGUUUAUCGGGUGAAACAACACCUCACGGGAGGUUAUAGGAAUUUCACUGCUUGCCCGAAGUGUCCUUCUCAUGUAAGAGAAGAGAUUAAAGAGUUCAUGUAAAAAAAAAGGACACAAAAAGAAGAAAUGAACAUGUUGCCUGAUUUCGAUGACAUGGACAGGGAAGAUGAAGAUGAAGAUGAUGAUGUCGUUGAGAUCAAUGUCAAUCAACACCGUAAGUUGACAAGUAGUAGCCAAGGUUCAUCCAAAUCCAAAUCCAAAUCAAAAAUGCCAAAGAGAAAAGGGCCUAUGGAUGUUUACGUCACACCCAAUCUUGAAUCAGUGGUGAAAAAUCGAAGAGACCAAGCAAAAGGAAAACAAACCAAAAUUGAUGCAAAUGACCCUUACAAAAAAGAAAUGAGAGCUCGGGCAGUGCAAAGAUUUGUAAGGUGGAUGUAUGAUGUUGGUAUCCCUUUUAAUGCAGUAAAUUAUGAGAGUUUUGGACCAAUGAUUGAAGCCAUUGGCCAAUAUGGUCCCGGUAUGAAGCCACCGACUUACCAUGAAGUGCGGGUUACCCAACUCAAAAAAGAAGUGAAACAUAUUGAAGAUUUGAUGAAGAAUUAUAAAGAAGAUUGUGCAAAAUACGGGUGUUCCAUAAUGGCUGAUGGUUAGACUGAUAAGAGAGGAAGGACAUUGAUUAACUUUUUAGUUAAUUGUCCAAGAGGAACCAUGAGUCGGUUGAUACUUCUAGCUAUUCAAAGGAUGGGCAAAAGCUAUUUGAAUUACUAAACAAGUUUGUGGAGAAAGUUGGAAAAGAGAAUGUGGUGCAAGUUAUCACUGAUAGUGCUGCAGCUAAUGUGUUGGCGGGGAGGUUUUUGGAAGCUAAGUAUGAACACUUGUAUUGGACACCAUGUGCUGCUCAUUGCUUGGACUUGAUGUUAGAAGACAUUUUCAAGAUACCUAGACU